rnacentral:rRNA from 1 species
GACGAACGCUGGCGGCGUGGAUUAGGCAUGCAAGUCGAACGGUAGGAUACCUUCGGGUAUCUGAGAGUAGCGAACGGGUGAGUAACACGUAGGUGAUCUACCCUCAAGAUUGGGACAACCCAGGGAAACUUGGGCUAAUACCGGAUGAAAGCAGCAGUGAUGUUGUUUGAAAGGUGGCGUAAGCUGCCGUUUGGGGAUGAGCCUGCGCUCUAUUAGUUAGUUGGCGGGGUAAAGGCCCACCAAGGCGAUGAUAGAUAGGCGGCCUUAACGGGUGGUCGCCCACACUGGGAUUGAGAUACGGCCCAGACUCCUACGGGAGGCAGCAGUCGAGAAUAGUCUACAAUGGCCGAAAGGCUGAUAGUGCGACGCCGCGUGAACGAAGAAGCCCUUCGGGUGUAAAGUUCUUUUAUAUGUGAGCAGUGCUUCUUAUAUUAACAGUAUGGGGAGAGAGAUAUUAGCAUAUGAAUAAGCAACGGCUAACUCCGUGCCAGCAGCCGCGGUAAA